UUCAUACUCCCUUCGUUCCAAAUUACUCGUCGCUGAAAUGGAUGUAUCUAGAACUAAAAUACAUCUAGAUACAUUCAUACGUGCGACAAGUACUUCGGAAUGGAGGGAGUAGUAU
rfam:Triticum aestivum genome assembly, contig: Triticum_aestivum_CS42_TGACv1_scaffold_220723_3B